AUGAACGCUGGCGGCGUGCCUAAUACAUGCCAGUCGAGCGAACGGACGAGAAGCUUGCCUCUCUGAUGUUAGCGGCGGACGGGUGAGUAACACGUGGAUAACCUACCUAUAAGACUGGGAUAACUUCGGGAAACCGGAGCUAAUACCGGAUGAUAUUUUGAACCGCAUGGUUCAAAAGUGAAAGACGGUCUUGCUGUCACUUAUAGAUGGAUCCGCGCUGCAUUAGCUAGUUGGUAAGGUAACGGCUUACCAAGGCAACGAUGCAUAGCCGACCUGAGAGGGUGAUCGGCCACACUGGAACUGAGACACGGUCCAGACUCCUACGGGAGGCAGCAGUAGGGAAUCUUCCGCAAUGGGCGAAAGCCUGACGGAGCAACGCCGCGUGAGUGAUGAAGGUCUUCGGAUCGUAAAACUCUGUUAUUAGGGAAGAACAUAUGUGUAAGUAACUGUGCACAUCUUGACGGUACCUAAGCAGAAAGCCACGGCUAACUACGU
rnacentral:rRNA from 1 species